UACGUAGGAUGCAAGCGUUGUCCGGAUUUACUGGGCGUAAAGCGCGCGCAGGCGGCAUACCAAGUAUUCAGUGAAAUCUCCCUGCUCAACGGGGAGGGUGCUGAGUAGACUGGUAAGCUAGAGGACGGUAGAGGGGGGGUAGAAUUGCUGGUGUAGCGGUGAAAUGCGUAGAGAUCUGGAGGAACACCGAUGGCGAAGGCAGCCUUCUGGGCCAACACUGACGCUCAUGCACGAAAGCGUGGGGAGCAAACAGG
rnacentral:rRNA from 1 species